rnacentral:hammerhead_ribozyme from 1 species
GCACUACUGUGGAGUCCAACAAUAGGACGUAACGGACGUCUAGUGC